rnacentral:rRNA from 1 species
GAGUGAACGCUGGCGGUAGGCCUAACACAUGCAAGUCGAACGGCAGCACAGUAAGAGCUUGCUCUUACGGGUGGCGAGUGGCGGACGGGUGAGGAAUACAUCGGAAUCUACUUUUUUGUGGGGGAUAACGUAGGGAAACUUACGCUAAUACCGCAUACGACCUACGGGUGAAAGCAGGGGAUCUUCGGACCUUGCGCGAUUGAAUGAGCCGAUGUCGGAUUAGCUAGUUGGCGGGGUAAAGGCCCACCAAGGCGACGAUCCGUAGCUGGUCUGAGAGGAUGAUCAGCCACACUGGAACUGAGACACGGUCCAGACUCCUACGGGAGGCAGCAGUGGGGAAUAUUGGACAAUGGGCGCAAGCCUGAUCCAGCCAUACCGCGUGGGUGAAGAAGGCCUUCGGGUUGUAAAGCCCUUUUGUUGGGAAAGAAAAGCAGCAGGUUAAUACCCCGCUGUUCUGACGGUACCCAAAGAAUAAGCACCGGCUAACUUCGUG